rnacentral:rRNA from 1 species
GACGAACGCUGGCGGCGUGCUCAACACACGCAAGUCGAACGGAAAGGCCCUGCUUUUGUGGGGUGCUCGAGUGGCGAACGGGUGAGUAACACAUGAGUAACCUGCCCUUGACUUUGGGAUAACUUCAGGAAACUGGGGCUAAUACCGGAUAGGAGCUCCUGCUGCAUGGUGGGGGUUGGAAAGUUUCGGCGGUUGGGGAUAGACUCGCGGCUUAUCAGCUUGUUGGUGGGGUAGUGGCUUACCAAGGCUUUGACGGGUAGCCGGCCUGAGAGGGUGACCGGCCACAUUGGGACUGAGAUACGGCCCAGACUCCUACGGGAGGCAGCAGUGGGGAAUAUUGCACAAUGGGCGGAAGCCUGAUGCAGCAACGCCGCGUGCGGGAUGACGGCCUUCGGGUUGUAAACCGCUUUCGCCUGUGACGAAGCGUGAGUGACGGUAAUGGGUAAAGAAGCACCGGCUAACUACGUG